GGCAGCUCCGCCAUGAAGCCAGCCAUCCAUGGCGGGCCCUGGCCCUGGCCCUGGCCCCGGCACCUCUGAUCAAUGCAGCCGUGGGCACGGCCGGUCGAGCCGCGCAGCCGGUGAUCCGGUGAACAGUGCCACGGAUCUCGGAUUGAUUGCGGGUAGUAAUCGAUUCGAUCGAGCGCGCUGCGUUUCGUGUGGCUCCUCGCCGCUCAGCUGAAUAGCUGAUCUGAUCAGCCGCGACGCCGCAGCAGCAUGCAUCCCUGGUGGCUCGCGCGCACGUGACUCGGGGCCGGGGUGCCCUACACGGUAUCGACACGCCAUUACUCGGUGUCGGGUUUUCUGACCGUGAUCGGUGAUGAGGUGCAAAAUUGCUUGUUCGUGCUGCCAACGCAAGGAUGGAUAAGCAGAUUACGGGCUCUGAGGAUGCUGAAAGUGGUGAUGCUCCAUCUCAGGAUGAUGCUGAAUGAAUCUACGGUGAACUAAGGUGUGGUUGAUCCUUGUCUGUUUGUUACGAGAGAUGAAUCUUUUGGUGCAUGGUAGAUCGAGUUGAUCCUGUUCUGGCGUGAACAAUCUCCUGGUGUAAUUAAUCCUGGUCGCCUUGGUUAAUCCUUGGCAAACUACGAUUGAUGUUCGCUGGAUUUCCCUUAGGACGACAAAUCCGAAUCAGGUCGCUACUGCCGUGCAAUUCCUGCUAUGCAUGUGUCUCUGUCUGAACUCUCUGUAUUUCUGCUACGUGAGUAGUAGUAACAGAAAUGGGGAUGUCCUCUGUUAAAAUAAAUAAAUAAAUUGAGACAAGUAUUUUUGGU